UUCAUGAAGGUUCCGUGAUGAAUAGACAAGAUGGCGCCAGUGUGUGUGGCUCGCCGUCUGUCUCUUCCCCUGCUGUGUUUGUUUGUGUUGGGUUUUUUAUUGCUAGAGUCAACCCUCUUUUAAUGUACAAUCGCCAAACUCUGUUGGACCUCCGACUAGUUGCCAGUGAUCUUACCAAUACAACUUAUACUGGACAUAAGACGUUACCUCCAUUCCUAUGUGGGAUACCAGCUAACCUUUGUCGGACCCUGGCCCCAGCCUCACGGCGAAAGCGUUUCAGACGCCGGGGCAAACGUAGCGGUCUGCUCGUGAAACUUAAGGCGUACUUGGUGCGCUCUUCCCCGGCUCCUUGGAACAAACGUGGAUCUGUGCCUCAUCAUGUCUUUUCUCCGCGCUCUCUGGAGCCCAUCGAUGCCUGGCUGGUGCCCGUUGUUGCCUCGGAUCAGAUGUCCCAGCCGCGAAAGAUUUUCCCUCAUCUUCGUCGGCGCGGUGCGAACCUACAGAACCUGCGGCCGCUGUGUCGGGUCUCGCAGUCAGCCACGAACACGCUGACCUCCACCAGGUUUGGUUUGGUGAACACUAGAUCGCUGAGUAAUAAAACUUUUAUUUCAAGGGAUUUAUUUAUGACCCAAGGACUGGAUUUCCUCUGUAUAACUGAGACAUGGUUGAGGGCCGGUGAGUCCAGCGUUUUCACAGAUCUCUUACCUGAUGACAGCUGCUUUUUAAACUCUCCUCGAAUAUCAGGCAGAGGAGGAGGACUAGCGGUUGUUUUUAAGAAGCAGUAUAAAUGUAAACCACUGCCCUUAUCAACAUUACGUAGUAGCUUUGAACUGUGUUUGAGCUGGGUCGCUCUCACACAGUGCUCUGUGCUGUGGUUUACAGACUCAAAUACAAUAAGGACUUCUUAAAUGACUUUUCUGAUCUGUUGGCUGAAAUUAUGCCAAAAUACGAUCAUGUCCUUAUUAUUGGGGACUUCAAUGCUCACGUGUGCUGCCCUGACCAGCCAAUGGCAAAGGACUUUUUAAAUCUUAUUGACUCUUUUGAUCUUGUGCAACCCGUGUCUGUGCCUACACAAAAAUAUGGGCACACGUUGGAUCUUGUUUUAACUCAGUUUACCUGUCUCUAACUUAGAGCUAUGGUCGGAUCAUAAGCCUGUCUUGUUUGAGGUUUCCCUUCCUUGUACCAAAGUUAAUCUUCCUCCUGUUGUUGCUCGGUGCUGUCGUAUUUUUAAUCCUUCCUCUGCAGGUCAGUUCUCUAUUGUUUUUAAUCAGAAUUGCAGCCUUCCUGAUUCCAUAUGUAAUGAUACAGAAGAGCUGAGUACAUGGUUUUACUCUGUCUGCCAAACUGUUUUAGAUUCGCUGGCCCCCUUUAAGCUUAGGCAAGUUAAAGCCAAAUCUGAACCCUGGCAGAAUGAAGACACCAGUGCUGCCAGAAGAAAGUGUAGGAGAGCUGAACGUAAAUGGAAGAAGGAUCAACUGCAGGUGGCAUACCAAAUAUUACAAAAUUACUGGAAUUCCUACCAGAAGACUGUAAAAGAUGCUAAGAGGAAACAUUUUGCUGCUAUUAUUCAGGCAAAUUGUCGUAAGCCUCAUGUCUUAUUUAAGACUAUUGACAUUAUCCUUCAUGUUCCACAGACUGUUGGUGUUGAGUCCUCUCAGGAAAUUUGUGAAAACUUCCUACACUUCUUUAUUGAUAAAGUGCUCUCUGUGAAAGCGCAGAUUUCCCAGUCCGUUCUCGUCCCUUCUAUCCCUGUCCCUAGCUCUGCUGUCUUUGACAGGUUUGAGCCAGUUUCUUUGCUGUGCCUGCAGCAGUUGGUUGCUCACCUGAAGCCCUCAGGUUCCCCUUAUGAUGCUCUCCCUCCUCGAUUAUUUUUUUUCUUUUUUUUUCUUUUUUUUUUCAAAGAGGUUUUUCUCACUAUAGCAUCAGUUGUACAAUCCAUUGUAAAUAGUUGUCUGUCCUCUGGUGUUGUACCUGUCAAUCAUAAACAUGCAGUGAUUCAGCCUCUACUCAAGAAACCUGCUCUUGAUCCUGAUAUUAUUGCAAAUUACAGACCUAUUUCCAAACUGCCUGUUAUCUCAAAGAUUCUUGAAAAGGUAGUUUACAAGCAAUUAAUGUCCUUUUUAGAAGAACACGGUAUUUUAGAAGUAUUCCAAUUAGGGCUGGGCGAUAUGACCCAAAAUUCAUAUCUCGAUAUUUUUUUACUUAUGCUAUUAGCAUGUACAGCACUUUGUGAACUCUGGUUUUAUGUUAAAUAAAGAUGGUAUGCAUUUGGGGCCUGUCUAUUUACUGAAUGCACCCCUUUGUUAUACAUUACUGUGUGUAUGUUAGGAUUAUUGCUUUGUUGCAACAGAAAGUGGACCUAUUUCACUUUCUGUUCGGUCACUUUUUGGCUUCUUGACAUUACUGGAAGCACGGGCCUACUUUAUCCAAGGAUACAGUGCCAUAUGGCUGCCAGUGAAAACUUGUUAAGGCCCCAGGGGCUUUUUGAGCUUCCUGCUCUAAAAUAAAAUACAAAAUCACAACAAAGUAAAAAUGUAAGAUGCAAUGGACAGGGCAGUGCAAAAAAGUUUCUUAAGUCUUCUAACAGCUUGUUAAAGUAUGCUUAGACAGUUUUUUGAACUUUGCCCGCAGGCUAAAGAAGAAACGCAAAACGCGCCGGGGUCGGAGGGCGAAAUUCAGAAGAGCUGCCGUUUCAGGAAGUAACAUCCCGUAUGAUAUGAAAUAAUAAAUGGCAGGCCCUCAAAGCCUGAUUUCCAGACCCGAAAGGGAAAGCUCAGAGUGAUGCUGUCCAAACAGCACCUGCUGCUCUGCCCCGAUCCAGCAAAAAAAUGGCGGCAGUGUUAAAAAGGAUAUCAAAAAAUUUUGCUGAAUUGGCAGAACUAAUGAAAUAAAAGCAAAUGAAAAAUAAAACUGUGCAGGUCUGUGAGUGUGAUUAAUAUGAAUCUCCUACCCAAAUUGCCACAAUUUUUUUUCUGAAAUUAAACC